UGCAUGUAGUACCAAACCACCAAUCAAUUUGUUCCCAAAUCACUAACAGAAUUUCAAAUAUCUAAAAUCAGUUCCAAAUUCAAUUCACAGCUGCAAGAUUUUCAAUUGGAAGCAAAUAAUUCCAAGCGCGCUAAGAUUUUCGAAUUCACAAUCCUCUUCUUUACCCAUUCCCAAAUCAUCUGAAUUUCAAGCUCAGGUUCUUGAUUUCGGAGCUGAUCAACCUUAGACACAGCCUAAACCUGAAACUGCUCCUUCUGCUCCAAUUGUUGAUGUUCCAAGGAAGAGCCCAAGCGUG
rnacentral:misc_RNA from 1 species